ensembl:misc_RNA
UUUUCAGGCGACUUUUACCGACUCUUCUCGCUGCCUCCGCCCUGCUCUCCGCCCGGGCUUCCAGCCUCUUAUGUUUUUGCAGCCAGAGCCGGAAAAAUGAAAACACAGCUCGAGGAGCCCCCACCAGCCGGCGCCCUUGCCAGUUCACCUCCGGCCAGGGCACAGCUGCCCUUGCACACGGUGGCCAAGGCCAGCUCCGAAUUCCUCCCUCCCCCUCCCCACCUCGCCAGAGACCGGAGCUCUGCGAGCAGAGGAAGGGCCCCAAGUCCACAGACUGCCAAGGUCGGCUGGGUCCCUUCUCAUCAAAAAUGGUGAGUCAAGAUUUCAUCUUGUCCACUGAGGAAACACAAGCAG